rnacentral:rRNA from 1 species
UAUGUAGGGUGCGAGCGUUAAUCGGAAUUACUGGGCGUAAAGCGUGCGCUGGCGGUUUUGUAAGCCAGAUGUGAAAUCCCCGGGCUCAACCUGGGAAUGGCAUUUGGGACUGCAAGGCUGGAGUGCGGCAGAGGAGACUGGAAUUCCUGGUGUAGCAGUGAAAUGCGUAGAUAUCAGGAGGAAUACCGAUGGCGAAGGCAGGUCUCUGGGCUGACACUGACGCUCAUGCACGAAAGCGUGGGGAGCAAACAGG